UCGUUCCCGAGAUGUACGGUUUGCAGAACAAAGUUUCCCGCCUGACUAGAGGAUGUUGCUAAAGUUAUAUAUCUUUGGGAUAUAUCUCCUGUUCCUGAUCUUUCACAUUGAAGCGCAAUCGCGCAAAGUCUUUUGCAGGGGAAAACGGGGAUGGGGCACUUGCGUUGCGGCAAAGGCUCCCUGCAAAUACCGUCGCUAUAAGGAUAAGCUCUGUAGGAAUAACUUAAUGUGCUGCGCUCCUUACUAAAUAGCUAAAUAUUUUGUUAUGUCUUAAAUAUAUCUACAUGUUUGCCUA